UAAGUACUCCCUCCAUCCAGAAAUACUUGUCGGAUGAAUUGAUGUAUCUGACAUAUUUUAGUUCUAGAUACAUUCGUUUUUAUCCAUUUCUUUGACAAGUAUUUCGGGACAGAGGGAGUAAUAU
rfam:Triticum aestivum genome assembly, contig: Triticum_aestivum_CS42_TGACv1_scaffold_404291_5BL